UAGUCAAAAAGGGUCAAACUAAGAUUCUUUCUAUCAAUUAGUUCAGCCCAACAAGAGAUGAGAUCAGCCCAAUACACAAACAAACAAAGAAACCCUAAUGCCAUAACCCUACUAUAAAAGGUAAAUUUCCAAAACACUAAUAACUACUUCAUCCGUUCAUCUCAACUUCCCUCAUUCAAAUUUUUCCAAACUUCUUCUCCUUCCUCAAAGUUUCUUUCUUUUUCUUCAACCUUACAGUCGCACCUCUACAAUGGUUUCUAGGGUUAGGGUUCGCUCAAGAUGUCAACUUCUCUUCUUCUUCUUCCUACCGCAGCUACCCCAAGAAAAGAGAAGCCCUAAAUGGCAAGCCCUAAGUAAUUUUCCAUCUAAUUAUAAUAUCACUUAGGGCAGCCAUUAUUUUCUCUAAAAAAUUCCUAAUUAUGAAAUCUUCUUCUCCUCUCUUCUUAUGGGAGAAGCUAGAAUUUUUAUGGUUGAGUAAUUUUAUUAUGGUCGAUGGUGGUAAUGGUGGCGCCGUUAGUGUUCGUGGGUGGAGAAUGUUUGGCCAUUCACACUAAAUCUCACAGGAAAUCAAAGAUUGAAGGAAAGGUAUAGAGAAUGGCAGAGGAAGAAGACUCCUCUUUAUCUAUCGAUUUUCUUCAAAAGUCGAUUCUUUUUGCUUUAAAAAAAUGAUUGAAGGGAAGGCCAUAGAGAAAGGGAGGGGAAGCAGAGCAAGAGGACUAAUCUUAUCAUAGUCCAGUAAUGAAAAUAAUCAAAGAUAAUUCCAGAUUGCAGCGAGAACUUUGCAGAUUUUAUCAGAUUAUAAGGCUUCAAGAAUGAGUGGAAAUUAAUUUGGAAGGCGGUAGCACACAAAGUUUUUGAUUUGUAUAAUUGUUGCAAAAAUGUUUAAUUUUUCAUGUAUAACAUGUGUAAAUGAAUGAGUGAUUCUGUGAAUAGGUAUCUUCCGAUUCCGAAUAAUUAUGUCGUUUUGUAUAAUUAUCGUAAAUGGUUUCUUUUCAGUUGUGUAUGAAUAAAUGUCUGUUAAAGUUAACUUGUUUUUGAGUAUAUUAUGUUAAAUAGAUAACAAACUGUUAAAAGGACACAACAAAAACCGUUACAUAGCCAUUU